rnacentral:rRNA from 1 species
UACAGAGGGGGCAAGCGUUGUUCGGAAUUACUGGGCGUAAAGGGCGCGUAGGCGGCCUUCUAAGUCGAACGUGAAAUCCCUGGGCUCAACCCAGGAACUGCGUCCGAUACUGGAAGGCUUGAAUCCGGGAGAGGGAUGCGGAAUUCCAGGUGUAGCGGUGAAAUGCGUAGAUAUCUGGAGGAACACCGGUGGCGAAGGCGGCACUCUGGGCCGGUACUGACGCUGAGGAGCGAAAGCGUGGGGAGCGAACAGG